UACGUAGGGGGCAAGCGUUGUCCGGAAUUAUUGGGCGUAAAGCGCGCGCAGGCGGUCAUUUAAGUCUGGUGUAUAAACCAAGGGCUCAACCUUUGGACGCAUUGGAAACUGGGUGACUGGAGUGUAGGAGAGGAAAGUGGAAUUCCACGUGUAGCGGUGAAAUGCGUAGAUAUUCGCAAGAACACCAGUGGCGAAGGCGGCCAACUGGUCCGGUACUGACGCUGAGGUGCGAAAGCGUGGGGAGCAAACAGG
rnacentral:rRNA from 1 species